AUACGGAGGAUCCGAGCGUUAUCCGGAUUUAUUGGGUUUAAAGGGUGCGCAGGCGGCCAUUUAAGUCAGCGGUUAAAUCGUGGGGCUCAACCCCAUUCUGCCGUUGAUACUGGGUGGCUUGAUUGCGGUCGAGGUUGGCGGAAUUCGUUGUGUAGCGGUGAAAUGCAUAGAUAUGACGAAGAACACCGAUUGCGUAGGCAGCUGACCAGACCGCAAAUGACGCUCAUGCACGAAAGUGCGGGGAUCUAACAGGAUUAGAUACCCUGGUAGUCCGCACAGUAAACGAUGAAUACUUGUUUUCGGCGAUAUAAUGUCGGAGGCAAAGCGAAAGCGAUAAGUAUUCCACCUGGGGAGUACGCCGGCAACGGUGAAACUCAAAUGAAUUGGCGGGG
rnacentral:rRNA from 1 species